GUUUCCGUAGGUGNACCUGCGGAAGGAUCAUUG
rnacentral:rRNA from 4 species